GAAAAUUUAAUGUUUUUUUCAAUCAGUACCAUCCUGAUCAUUUGCUUGGAAACUGUGCAAUUUAUAUCUAGGAGGCUGUCGAUUUUCAUGUCCACUCUUAACUUUUUUUUUUU
rnacentral:lncRNA from 1 species